rnacentral:rRNA from 1 species
UCCGUAGGUGAACCUGCGGAAGGAUCAUUACCUGGCCUUGGGCCGCUCGCGGGAGCUAGUCGCUUGCGACGACGCUGCUGAGAGCGCUUAGCCCUUGACUAUCACCUUGACUACGUGCACCUUUUGUUGUUUCCUCGGCAGGUCAUCUGUCGCCAGGAACCCCCCUAAACCUUUUGCAAACAGCAUUCAAACUUCUGAAAACAAACCAAAUCAUUUACAACUUUUAACAAUGGAUCUCUUGGUUCUGGCAUCGAUGAAGAACGCAGCGAAAUGCGAUAAGUAGUGUGAAUUGCAGAAUUCAGUGAAUCAUCGAAUCUUUGAACGCACAUUGCGCCCCUUGGUAUUCCAUGGGGCAUGCCUGUUCGAGCGUCAUUUGUACCUUCAAGCUUUGCUUGGUGUUGGGUGUUUGUCCUCUCCCUGGUGUUAGGACUCGCCUUAAAACAAUUGGCAGCCAGUGUUUUGGUAUUGAAGCGCAGCACAAGUCGCGAUUCUAACCUAAUAACACUUGCGUCCACAAGCCUUUUUUUCACUUUUGGACCUCGGAUCAGGUAGGGAUACCCGCUGAACUUAAGCAUAUCAAUAAGCGGAGGAAGUCGA